rnacentral:misc_RNA from 1 species
UUUUCGAGUGUCUCAUCGAGAGACCGCUUAUCACCUUCAUCACACCUCAAAUGUUGUAGAGGACCAUGGAGUAGCUUGUUAACAAUACCACUGCUAAGAUCGUCUAUGGCCUUCCUCACUUUCUUCGUGAGCGCCUCAUCGCCAAUCUUCUGGAAGCAUCUCUGGAGCUCUGAUGCCUUAAUUCUGUCCGCAUACGAUCUUAGCUUCUUGAUGGUCGGAACAGUCCCCAG